GAAUUUUGCCCAAUGGACGAAAGUCUGAGGCAGCAACUCCGCGUGAGGGAUGAAGGCCUUCGGGUCGUAAACUUCUUUUCCCAGGGAAGAUCCAAGACGGUACCUGGGGAAUAAUCCACGGCUAACUACGUGCCAGCAGCCGCGGUAAUACGUAGGUGGCGAGCGUUGUCCGGAUUUACUGGGCGUAAAGCGCGCGCAGGCGGCUGACCAAGUCCGAUGUGAAAUCUUCCGGCUUAACUGGAAAACGGCAUUGGAUACUGGUCGGCUGGAAGGUGGGAGAGGGUAGCGGAAUUCCCGGUGUAGUGGUGAAAUGCGUAGAUAUCGGGAGGAACACCAGUGGCGAAAGCGGCUACCUGGCCCACUCUUGACGCUGAGGCGCGAAAGCUAGGGGAGCAAACGGG
rnacentral:rRNA from 1 species